AAAAAGCCUUCAACAGUGCUUGUACAACUGAUGUAGAGUGCCGAACAGCAUUGUCCAAGUGCCUCAAUCAGAAAUGUACAUGUGAGGCUACCAGUUUUUAUGACUCUCAGGCUGAUUCUUGUGUUCAAAAGAAAGCCUUAAACACGGCUUGUACCGCUGACUUAGAGUGCCAGACGACUGGCGCUAAGUGCCUCAACCAGAAAUGUACCUGUGAGGCUACACAUUUCCAUGACUCACAGACUGACACUUGCCUACCAAAGAAAGCCUUUAACAGUGCUUGUACCGCUGACUUAGAGUGCAAGACGACUGGUGCAAAGUGCCUCAGCCAGAAAUGUACAUGUGAGGCUACACGUUUCCAUGGCACACAUACCGACAUUUGCCUACCAAAGAAAGCAAUUAACAGUGCUUGUACCGCUGACUUAGAGUGCCAGACGCUUGGUUCAAAAUGCCUUAACCAGAAAUGUACGUGUGAAGCUAUACGUUUCCAUGACUCACAGACUGACACCUGCCUACCAAAGAAAGCGUUCAACAGUGCUUGUGUCGCUGAUGUGGAGUGCAAGACAUCUUUUUCCAAGUGCCUUAAUCAGAAAUGUACAUGUGAGGCUACACGUUCCCGUGACCCUCAG